CAGCCGCCACGGGAAUACGAAGGGGGCUAGCGUUGUUCGGAAUUACUGGGCGUAAAGCGCACGUAGGCGGAUAUUUAAGUCAGGGGCGAAAUCCCAGAGCUCAACUCUGGAACUGCCUUUGAUACUGGGUAUCUUGAGUAUGGAAGAGGUGAGUGGAAUUCCGAGUGUAGAGGUGAAAUUCGUAGAUAUUCGGAGGAACACCAGUGGCGAAGGCGGCUCACUGGUCCAUUACUGACGCUGAGGUGCGAAAGCGUGGGGAGCAAACAGGAUUAGAUACCCGAGUAGUCCCUGUCUCUUAUAC
rnacentral:rRNA from 1 species